rnacentral:rRNA from 1 species
CGCUGAGGACGAAAGCGUGGGUAGCAAACAGGAUUAGAGACCCUGGUAGUCCACGCCGUAAACGAUGAGCACUUGGUGGUAGAGGCUUCGACCCCUGUACUGCCGUAGUUAACGCGUUAAGUGCUCCGCCUGGGGACUACGACCGCAAGGUUGAAACUCAAAGAAAUUGACGGGGACCCGCACAAGCGGUGGAUUAUGUGGUUUAAUUCGAUGCAACGCGAAGAACCUUACCUGGAUUUGACAUAUUUUUGAAAUCUCUAUGAAAGUAGAGACCUUUUUAAGCUUGCUUAAAAACAAUUAUACAGGUGAUGCAUGGCUGUCGUCAGCUCGUGUCGUGAGAUGUUCGGUUAAGUCCGAUAACGAGCGCAACCCCUAUCCUUAGUUGCCAGCACGUAAUGGUGGGGACUCUAGGGAAACUGCCCGGGAUAACCGGAAGGAAGGUGGGGUCGAUGUCAAGUCAGUAUGUCCCUUACAUUCAGGGCUACACACGUAAUACAAUGGGAAAUACAAAGGGUUGCGAAAUCGCGAGAUGGAGCUAAUCUCAAAAAAUUUCCCCAAGUUCGGAUUGCAGUCUGCAACUCGACUGCAUGAAGUAGGAAUCGCUAGUAAUCGCGCAUCAGCAUGGCGCGGUGAAUACGUUCCCGGGUCUUGUACACACCGCCCGUCACGCCAUGGAAGCUGGUCGCGCUCGAAUGCAGUGCCUUAACCUUCGGGAAAGAGCUGUUUAAGGUGAGAUUGGUAACUGGGGCGAAGUCGUAACAAGGUAGCCGUACCGGAAGGUGCGGCUG